UUAACUAUUAUAUAGUACUCAGACAUCACUAAAAACAGAGUUUGGGUCCUCUGGCAGGCGCGCACCGGCCGAAGCCCGUGGUGUUGCCACGGCCUGCCAAAGCAACAAAGGUAUAGUAUUCAAGGGUGGGAGAUCUACCCCGGAGGGCAUGAACUCUGUAAUGAUCCUUCCGCAGGUUCACCUACGGAAA
rnacentral:misc_RNA from 1 species